GGUGUAGCGGUGAAAUGCGUAGAUAUCAGAAGGAACAUCAAUGGCGAAGGCAGCUUUCUGGAUCAAUACUGACGCUGAGGUACGAAAGCGUGGGUAGCAAACAGGAUUAGAUACCCUGGUAGUCCACGCCGUAAACGAUGAUAACUAGCCGUUGGGGGGCUUACCCCUUAGUGGCGAAGCUAACGCGUUAAGUUAUCCGCCUGGGGAGUACGGCCGCAAGGCUAAAACUCAAAGGAAUUGACGGGGACCCGCACAAGCGGUGGAGCAUGUGGUUUAAUUCGAUGCAACGCGAAGAACCUUACCUGGUCUUGACAUCCUGCGAACUUUCUAGAAAUAGAUUGGUGCCUUCGGGAACGCAGUGACAGGUGCUGCAUGGCUGUCGUCAGCUCGUGUCGUGAGAUGUUGGGUUAAGUCCCGUAACGAGCGCAACCCCUAUCCUUAUUUGCCAGCACAUUAUGGUGGGAACUAUAAGGAGACUGCCGGUGAUAAGCCGGAGGAAGGCGGGGACGACGUCAAGUCAUCAUGGCCCUUACGACCAGGGCUACACACGUGCUACAAUGGGAAGGACAAAGAGCCGCGAAGCCGCGAGGUGUAGCUAAUCUCAUAAAUCUUUUCGUAGUCCGGAUUGGAGUCUGCAACUCGACUCCAUGAAGUCGGAAUCGCUAGUAAUCGUAGAUCAGAAUGCUACGGUGAAUACGUUCCCGGGUCUUGUACACACCGCCCGUCAUACCAUGGGAGUGGGUUGCACCAGAAGUGGCUAGUCUAACUUUGUGAGGACGGUCACCACGGUGUGAUUCAUGACUGGGGUAAAGUCGUAACAAGGUAGCCCUACCGGAAGGUGGGGCUG
rnacentral:rRNA from 1 species